rnacentral:rRNA from 1 species
AACGAACGCUGGCGGCAGGCCUAACACAUGCAAGUCGAACGCUCCAGCAAUGGAGAGUGGCAGACGGGUGAGUAACGCGUGGGAACCUUCCCUAUGGUUCGGAAUAGCCCAGGGAAACUUGGGGUAAUACCGAAUAAGCCCUUCGGGGGAAAGAUUUAUCGCCAUUGGAUGGGCCCGCGUCGGAUUAGCUAGUUGGUGGGGUAACGGCCUACCAAGGCGACGAUCCGUAGCUGGUCUGAGAGGAUGAUCAGCCACACUGGAACUGAGACACGGCCCAGACUCCUACGGGAGGCAGCAGUGGGGAAUAUUGGACAAUGGGCGCAAGCCUGAUCCAGCCAUGCCGCGUGAGUGACGAAGGCCUUAGGGUUGUAAAGCUCUUUUGGCGGGGAAGAUAAUGACGGUACCCGCAGAAUAAGCUCCGGCUAACUUCGUGCCAGCAGCCGCAGUAAUAC